GUAUGUGCCGCAACGAUAGCGUCAGCCUGGGAGCGCAGCCGAAGCGUGCGGCCCCAAGGAGCCCGGCCCUCUUAGGAGAUGCCAACUAAGAGACAACGGCCUGGUAACGGCUGGAACUUCCCAGAUGGCGAGGUGGCCUUCUUUCACACCUGAUGCAGAUUUGCAUCCCCGGACAGCCGAGAGACGCAGAUCGAUUAUAUCUGUGGCGGAGCGCUCCAUACCAGGUGAGGGGGUUCC